rnacentral:rRNA from 1 species
UACGUAGGGUGCGAGCGUUAAUCGGAAUUACUGGGCGUAAAGCGUGCGCAGGCGGUUCGCAAAGUCUGAUGUGAAAGCCCCGGGCUCAACCUGGGAACUGCAUUGGAAACUAACGGGCUCGAGUGUGGCAGAGGGGGGUGGAAUUCCACGUGUAGCAGUGAAAUGCGUAGAGAUGUGGAGGAACACCGAUGGCGAAGGCAGCCCCCUGGGCUAACACUGACGCUCAGGCACGAAAGCGUGGGAAGCAAACAGG